rnacentral:rRNA from 1 species
AAAAUUUUUAAAAAUAAAAUUAAUAUAAAUUUAAUGGGGGUUAAAGUAUAUUAAUAGAAAAAAUUAAAAAUUUUAUAGUGAAUUAGUAUUGUAAAAGAAUAUUUGAAAUAAAAUGAAAAUAAAAUUAUUUAAAAGUAAUUUUUAUUUAAUGUAUCUUGUGUAUCAGAGUUUAUUAAUUAAUUUUUAAUGUUUUAAAAUUCUCGAAUUUAAAAGAGAUAAUUAAUUAAUAAAGUUAUUGUUGAAUAAAUAUUUUUAAUAAUUAAUUUGAAAUGAAAUGUUAAUCGUUUUUAAAUAUAUCUAGUUUUUUUAGAAAAAAAUUUAAUUUUAAAUUUAUAUAAUUAUUAAUUAAUUUAUUAAUUAGUAAUUUAUAUUAAAUUUUAUAUUUUAAGGGAUAAGCUUUAAAUUAAAUUUAUAUAAUUAAUAAAAAUUUUUAUUUAAAAUUUAUAUAAUUUAUAUUGUUAAUUAAUUAUAGUUUAUUAUAAAUAAUUUUAUUUAAAAUAAAAUUUAAAUUAAGAUUUAUAUUUUUAUAAAAAAAAAAAUUAUAAUUAAUUAAAUUUAAUUAUAAUGAUAAAAUUAGUAUAUAAAAAUGAUUAAACAAUAAUAAAUUUAUUUAGUAAAUUGUUUAAAAGGAAUUCGGCAAAUAUAUAUAUUCACUUGUUUAUCAAAAACAUGUCUUUUUGAAAAUAAUAUAAAGUCUAAUCUGCCCACUGAUAAAUUAUUAAAGGGCUGCAGUAUUUUGACUGUACAAAGGUAGCAUAAUCAUUAGUCAUUUAAUUGAUGACUUGUAUGAAAGAUUGGAUGAAAUAUAAACUGUCUCUUAAGUAAAUUAUAAAAUUUAAUUUUUUAGUUAAAAAGUUAAAAUAAAUUAAAAAGACGAGAAGACCCUAUAGAGUUUUAUAUUUAAUUGAAUGAGAAAUUAUUUAUAAAUUUAUUAAUUAAAAUUUAGUUAAAUAUUAUGUUGGGGUGAUAGAAAAAUAAAAUUAACUUUUUUUUUAUUUAAACAUAUAUAAGUGAAUAAAUGAUCCAAUAAUAUUGAUUAUAAGAAAAAAUUACCUUAGGGAUAACAGCGUAAUUUUUUUUUUUAGUUCGAAUAAAAAAAAAAGUUUGCGACCUCGAUGUUGGAUUAAGAUAAAAAUUAAAUGCAGAAGUUUAAAUUUUUGAUCUGUUCGAUCAUUAAAAUCUUACAUGAUCUGAGUUCAAACCGGUGUAAGCCAGGUUGGUUUCUAUCUUUUAAUAAAAGAAAUAUUUUAGUACGAAAGGAUUAAAUAUUUAAAUUAAUAUUUAUAUUUAUUUGAAUUUUAUUAAAUUAAU